UCCUAGCCCUGAUGGAAGUGGUAUCCUUUUUAAUAAUUCAGGCUAGAAGCCUUUGAAAGGCUUUUAGCCUGAAUUAUUAAAAAGAUAUAGCGGACAGCAGGAUUAGCU
rnacentral:sRNA from 1 species